CGCGCUUGCGGGGUGGGGAAGGCGGGGGCGCGGCUGUGGCGGGAGCGUCCCUGGUCUCCGCCCCUGUUUCCCACUCUCCUCCACCUCCUAGCCGGCGGGGCUCCGGAGAGGCGCCGCUUGUCCGUCCCCGGAGCCACCCGGCUGCCGCCGCCUCCGCCCUCCGCUCGCGGUGAACCCGUCAGUCCCCGCACCGUGCGCUCGUCUGUCUGGGCCAUGGAUGGUGUUGUUACAGAUCUUAUAGCAGUCGGUUUAAAGCGGGGAUCUGAUGAGCUUCUCUCUUCUGGUGUCAUUAACGGACCUUUUACCAUGAACAAUUCUACUCCUACAGGUGUGUAUGCUAAUGGGAAUGACAACAAGAAAUUUAAAGGAGAUAGACCUCCCUGUUCGCCUUCCCGUGUUCUCCAUCUUCGCAAAAUUCCAAGUGAUGUCACCGAAGCAGAGGUCAUAUCAUUAGGUCUACCAUUUGGCAAAGUUACUAAUCUUUUGAUGUUGAAAGGAAAAAGCCAGGCUUUCUUAGAAAUGGCUUCUGAGGAAGCUGCGGUUACUAUGGUGAAUUAUUACACUCCUGUUACUCCUCACCUUCGAAGCCAGCCUGUUUUUAUUCAGUAUUCCAAUCACAGAGAACUUAAGACUGACAAUCUACCUAAUCAAGCUAGAGCCCAAGCUGCACUGCAGGCUGUCAGUGCUGUCCAGUCGGGAAGUCUGGCCCUUCCUGGAGCUCCUACCAAUGAAGGCACAAUCCUACCUGGGCAGAGCCCUGUGCUCCGAAUAAUUAUUGAAAACCUCUUUUACCCUGUUACUCUGGAAGUUCUUCAUCAGAUAUUUUCCAAAUUUGGCACAGUCUUGAAGAUUAUCACCUUUACAAAGAAUAAUCAGUUUCAAGCCUUGCUUCAGUAUGCUGACCCAGUGAAUGCACAUUAUGCCAAAAUGGCUCUGGAUGGCCAGAAUAUCUAUAAUGCAUGCUGCACUCUGCGUAUUGACUUCUCCAAGCUCACCAGCCUUAAUGUGAAAUAUAAUAAUGACAAAAGCAGAGACUUCACUCGUUUAGACCUUCCUACUGGUGAUGGCCAGCCAUCCCUUGAACCCCCUAUGGCCGCUGCUUUUGGUGCACCAGGUAUAAUUUCUUCACCCUAUGCAGGGGCUGCUGGAUUUGCCCCAGCCAUUGGAUUUCAUCAAGCUACAGGAUUAUCAGUCCCAGCUGUUCCUGGAGCUCUGGGCCCUCUCACAAUCGCCUCCUCUGCUGUCACUGGAAGGAUGGCUAUUCCUGGGACUGGUGGUAUACCAGGAAAUUCUGUUCUGCUUGUCACCAAUCUCAAUCCUGAUCUUAUCACACCACAUGGGCUUUUUAUCCUGUUUGGAGUAUAUGGUGAUGUACAUCGAGUGAAGAUUAUGUUUAAUAAGAAAGAAAAUGCCUUGGUUCAGAUGGCAGAUGCGAGUCAAGCUCAGCUAGCAAUGAACCACCUGAGUGGACAGAGACUUUAUGGAAAAGUACUUCGCGCUACACUGUCCAAACAUCAGGCAGUCCAGCUUCCUCGAGAGGGACAAGAAGACCAAGGUCUGACUAAGGAUUUUAGCAAUAGUCCUUUGCAUCGCUUUAAAAAACCUGGCUCUAAAAACUUCCAGAAUAUCUUUCCACCAUCAGCUACUCUGCAUCUUUCCAACAUUCCCCCUUCUGUUACAGUGGAUGAUCUGAAGAACCUUUUUACAGAAGCGGGAUGUUCAGUGAAGGCUUUUAAAUUCUUUCAAAAAGAUCGCAAAAUGGCACUCAUUCAGUUGGGAUCUGUGGAAGAAGCAAUCCAGGCCCUCAUUGAGCUUCAUAAUCAUGAUCUUGGAGAAAAUCACCACCUCAGAGUUUCCUUCUCAAAAUCUACAAUCUGAUUUUUUUGUGAAUUUUUCUCCUAAGACUGGACCAUAAUUUCAGUAAAACCUUCAGACACAGACUGAAGCAGCUCAAGACCAAUUCUGCCUCUUUCAUGAAAGUAACUCUGGUUUGAUAUUCAAGUAUAUACAGAAAAUCAAGGGAUAUUCUUUUCUUUUUCUUUUUUUUUUCCAUUUUUCCCCCUUGCCAGGAUGUGAUCAAAGCUUCGCCAGCCCAGGAUCUUCAAAGAAAGUUCUGAAGGUUGACUUCUGGCGUGGUGACGUGAAGAACUCCACUGACCUGCUCCCUAAUAAUAGUGAAAGCUGGAGAAAAAAAAAAAAAAUUAAGGACUCUGGAAAUGGUCCUAAAGGCUUAUUGAAGAGCGUUUAGGAGGAUGUUUGCCAGGCCAUCCUGUGGCUGCUACCACUUCUGUGUGCCAGCCAUUCUUCGUGAAGGUAUGAGACCAGGCUGUCCUAACUACCUCAAGGUGUUCGAUGGGCCCCACUGCCUUAUGACAAGAAGAACAGAGGGUGGUUUCUGCAAGGUUGUACAUUAGUAGCCUCCGGGAAAGUUCUCCUGAACCCUUGAGCAGGCUCUGAGGCUGGCUGGAAGGGUGGUGACAGCCACUCCCCCCAAAGAGAAAGAAGGCCAAGAUCCAUUACCUGAAGGAAGAAUAGCUUCUAAGGCUAGUGAAACAGUCCAAAAGGAACAUUGAGAAGAAAAGAAAAUACAUAGAGGUCCUCAAGACUCUCAGACUCCUGAUCUGAACUUAAUAAACACUUUUUAUUCCUCAAAAUAUAUUAAAAAAUAAAGUUCCAUAAUUCACCUACAUUGCUUUUAUGAUCAGAUGUUGAAAACGCUAUUUUGUGCAUUAAUCUAAUUUGGGGGGCAGUUGGCUGACUCAGUCAAAAGAACAUGCAACUUUUGAUCUCGGGGUUAUUUGAGCCCUACAUUGGGGGUAGAGAUUACUUAAAAAAAUAAAGUUUUUUUAAAAUUAAUUUCUAUGAAUAAGAUUGUAACACGCAGGACCCUCUGAAAAACAGAGUUCAGGAUGGAGGGUCCUCCUACUAUAAUCAAAGAGACAUUUAAUCUAGCUUGGAGACAUUUCCUAGGGAAGCUCUUUGAGAGAAUGAAGGCAUAGGGCUAGGAGCAAACAGGAUUUUCCUUUUAGCUUAAUUUCAAUUGCUGACUUUCUCUUAUGUGUGUCCAUGCCAAAGCAGACACCUCCAUCCCUUAGUAAAUUUCUUUAUGUGCAGAUUUUUCGGCAAAAAGCCCCUUUUCUGUCUAUCUCAUGUUCCCUUUUGUGUUUCAAUUUUCACCUGUUGAAAUGUAACCAAUUUUCACUUGUUGAAACGUAACCAUUUUUUAGGGUCUUGCUUGAAAGUCUCCUUUCUUUCUUUCUUUCUUUUUUUUUUUUUUAAUUACUUAUUUAACAGACAGAGAUCACAAGUAGGCAGAGAGGCAGGCAGAGAGAGAGGAAGGGAAGCAGGUUCCCCGCUGAGCAGGGAGCCCGAUGCGGGGCUCGAUUUCAGGACCCUGGGAUCAUGACCCUAGCUGAAGGCAGAGGCCUCAACCCACUGAGCCACCCAGGCGCCCCAUCUUUCUUUCUUUUUUUUAAAUGAUUUUAUUUAUUUACUUGAGAGAGAGCAAGAGAGAGAGAGAGAGAGAGCGCACAAGUGGCAGGGAGGUGCAGAGGCAGAGGGAGAGGGAGAGAGACAAGCAGGCUCCUCACUGAGCGGAGAGCCCGAGGUGGGGCUCAUUCCGGGAGCUGGGUAUCAUGACCUGAGCUGAAGGCAGAUGCUCAACUGACUGAGCCGUCCAGGUGCCCCUGAAGAUCUUUUUCUUCCCAUCUUUCCUAAUCUUGGCAGCCAGAAGCCCCCUUUCGGAGGCCCCAUCAGCCUUUCUUUAAGCCAGACAGAAACACUUCUGGAAAGCUAGGUUGGCUUAUAAGCCGCGGUCCUUCCUACAUCUUUGCAGAGGCUACAACUGUGGUGUGUGGCUUUUGGAGGCCAUGGAGUCUCCUUGCUUAGUAACUCCCCUUUCACACCACCCUAAAGAGGUCCUGGAAGCUAGCCUGAGGCUGACAUCACGUUCAUUAUUCCUGGGGGAAUGGAGAGUUGGUCUCCAGAAAGACGUUGAUAAAGUAUUCUGGAAUCCUCAAGUCUGAAAGACCAGAGGGCACACGCCAUAGACCUCAUCUAACAUGGCAAAGUAUAUUGUGUGUGCAUUAAAUAUGAUACACCCGAGUUACACAGAAUUUGAGUGUUUUACAACGGUUUACUCUGAGCACCUGGUUGGGGGGUAUAUCCACCUGAUUCUACACUAAGUCAGACUAUUCCCAGAGCACUGUGUUCAGUCCUGGAGGUAAAUAACUCCUUGGGUAGAUACAGUUUAAAAAAACAACAACAGGGGCGCUUGACUGGCUCAGUCAGCAGAGAGUGUGACUCUUGAUCUCAGGGUCCUGAGUUGAAGCACCACGUGGGGCAUGGAUCCUACUUAAAAAUAAAAAUAAAUAAAACAACAAAACCAGGGCGCCUGGGUGGCUCAGUUAAUUGUCCAUCCAUGGGUCAUGAUCUUUGGCUCAGUCAUGAUCCCUGGGUCCUGGGAUUGAGCCCUUUGUGGGGUUACCUGCCCAUCGGGGAGCCUGCUUCUUGCUCUCCCUGCCCCCAGCUUGUGUGCUUGCUCGCUCUCGCUCUCUCUCUCUCCCUCAAAUAAAUAAAAUAUUAAAAUAAAAAUAAAAAAUAAAACAACAAAACCAAAAGGAGUUACUGAGAAUGAUAAGAGGUGCAAAGCCACAUCCUAGAACAUCAUAGAGAGAGGGAGGCCAGGUCCAGUGAGUUAGGAUUUGAGGAAAGGCAUUUUCACUAAAUGAGAAGAGAGGGAUUUUACAAGCUACUAUGUUCAGAAGCUGUAUCUCACCUGCUGUUUUUAUGCCUUGCACCUUUUAUCCUUCUGAUAGAAUGAUAUUCUGUAUUUCCAUCAGGAAGCACUCCUCUCCAGUUGAUUCUUUGGGAUUUGGAGGAUGCUGACCCCACACUUGGGGACGAACCCAGGUGGCUCUUGGCUCAUUAUUGGCCCUAUUAUCCAGGACGGUGGUGUGGCUGGUUUGGCUAUGGACACUUGUCUCCAGGGAUAAACAGGCUCAAGGCUUUUGUGUCAUUCUUGGGAAAGAGAAGCUUUCUCUGUCCACUGAGAUGGAAGCUGAGAGGAUAUAAGAAUGGCCAUUGUGGGGAUCGUGUUAUAAUUGUCAGGGGGAAACCUGAGGCAGGAGCGAGCAGAGCCAAGAGGAAGAAGCUGGAUUCCUGGGGCACCAUUUGUGUUUGGCGAAGUCCCACUUUCUGUCAGAUCUGUCCAAUGACUCUUUUAGGUUAUUGGAGCCAAUAAACUCCAGUUCUGCUUUCAACAUGGUGGAUCAUUUUAAGUCACUUGAACCCGAAGUCUCCUAGACAGUACAGAGCAGAGUUAGGAAGGAGCUGGUGAGCCAGCCUGUCUGGGCAAGCACAGUGAGUACGAUGAUGUGUGCCCACCUCACAUGACAUGCGAGCAUCUGAGAUUUCUGGUCUGUCAGCCCAACACUGUGGCUGUUAUUGGCAAAUCAAGUUUCAGAAGUAGCUUCCAUAAUGAGAAAGAUUAAUUAGAUUUAAAAAGUACUUGUGAAUGCAUAGGGUUGAUUCCAAAACCUCCCAGGGAAAAUCAAAGCGUAAGAAAUCUUUUGAACUGGCUAAUACAUGCUUUCUUUUCCAUUACCCGCUUUGGCACAGAUUCAAAGUUUCUUGCUCAGAUCCAUUUUAAAAACGACUUUAUGAGCCAGUCAGUAGAAUGCAAGGUGGCAUCAGAGUCCCAGAGACAGUUUGGGAGACAGUCACCCGGGGAUAGAUCAUCCAGAACCACGGAGCCCUUGAAUGAACAGGAAAUUAGACAUGUUGGGAGAUGAGUAAUCUGUAGCGUUUCCAUAUUGCCUUGCUCCAAGGAUGCGCAGCUGAGUCGAUAUUAACACCCGCUGACAACCUCAGACCGACAGUGAGUGACCCCACUCCUUGCCUUCACGUAGAACACUUAUGAAGUACCAGGAGGUUGCCAGUGCAGGACAGCUGGUUGGAAUGCCACUUGCCAUGCCCUUCAGCUACUUAAAGUCUAGUGGGAAAGACAUACAAGUCAGUGGUAAAAGGAACUUAUAGCGGGACUUUAGAAGUAGAAAUGCAAACUUAAUAUUUGUGUAUUUUGCUGAGUGUAAAUUAGACCUUAGUUUUUUGAAGUAGGGGGAAGAAAGGAAUCAUUUGAAAAUACUGAAAAUCCCGGCAGGGAAUUAUCAGAGCAUCAACACAGAGAUGAUCUCUGGAAGAUAUAAAGCAAAUGUGAUCAGAUUAAUAAAAACAGGAAGGAGCCAAUGCACCUGCAACCCCCUGAACACAGAGAGGAUCUCCCAAAAAAGUGAACUUUCUAAUUAGAACUCCAGAAAAACUCCAAAUACAGAGACAGCAGGGACAGGGAGGACCGGUAUGAUGGUGAGGUACCCGCAACCUCAAACAUCUGCACCUGUUUUUAGCUUUAGAAGUGGCUAGUUUUGAAUAUUCUCCUCAGGUGAAAAUUUGAAGUAAAGCUUAUUGAGUGAUGAUCCAAGAGGCUCCCAGAGAAGGCACUGGAGCCAGAGGAAGUUUCCCCCUCGCAGCCCCCCAAGACCAUGAAGAGCUAAGACCACUGUAACCAAACCUCACUCCGGAGAAAGCAGAGUCCCAGAUGCCUGCCUGGCUCAGUUGGGAGAGUCUGUGACUCUUGCUCUUGGAUUGUGAGUUCAAGCCCCAUGUUGGGCAUGGAGCCCACUUUAAAAAAUAGCUCUUUCGGGGUGCCUGGGUAGCUCAGUGGGUUAAGCCGCUGCCUUCCGCUCGGGUCAUGAUCCCAGGGUCCUGGGAUCGAGUCCUGCAUCAGGCUCUCUGCUCAGCAGGGAGCCUGCUUCCCUCUCUCUCUCUGCCUGCCUCUCCAGCUACUUGUGAUUUCUCUCUGUCAAAUAAAUACAUAAAAUCUUAAAAAAAAAAA